rnacentral:misc_RNA from 1 species
UCUCCGUUGGUGAACCAGCGGAGGGAUCAUUAUCGAGUUUAUAACUCCCAAACCCUAUGUGAACUUACCACUUGUUGCUUCGGCGCGCGCUUCGGCGCCGCCGAGGACACUUAAACUCUUUGUUUUUAUAAGCAUUCCUGAGUGGCCGAAAGGCAAAAUACAAAUGAAUCAAAACUUUCAGCAACGGAUCUCUUGGUUCUG